CUUCAAAUGCGAUGAUGUUUUAUAAACCUUCGUACCUUACCGUAAUAAUUAAACAACCUUUUCAAUGAAAUCGAGCAGAGAAUAUAUUGCAUGAGACAUUCGUUAAUUAUCUUGUUUUUAUCUAGGUAUUUUUGAAUUAUAUCGCAUGUAAUAAAUCGUUUGACAAUGUUACAGAACACUGCAUGUGUUAUAACAUUGAGGGGUGUUAUAACACAAUGCACGGUUCAAACGAUAAGCUUUCCGCGAGUCUUAUAAUCUUCAAAGAGUUGUUCACUUAACAUACAUGUUCAGUCAUGUACAGUGUCGAGCGUACGGACAGUGAAAGAACGCGAACUCUGGCAGUGGUAUGUGCUAAACAAUUGUUUGUUUCCAUUAAACAAAUAACUCCUUCUUCAGUCUUUUUUUUAGGUACAAGAGAUGAAGAUCAGGAAGAAGAUAGAGAGGAGUACGUUAUUAUUUUUCCUGUCCUUAUCUUAACUUGUUUUUAGAUUUUUCGUUUAGAUGAGGAGGAGGCUAAUGAAAAGUAGAGGAGGAUGCUGACGGAGAGACAAGAAGGAUGCAGAUGAAGAGACGAGGAUGCAGAUGAAGAGAAAAGGAGGAUGCAGAUGAAGAGACGAGGAUGCAGAUAAAGAGAAAAGGAGGAUGCAGAUGAAGGGACGAGGAGGAUGAAAAUGAAUGGACAAGGAGGAUCAAGAACGGACAAGGAGGAUCAAGAAGGAUAUAGAGAAACAUGUCGAGCGUACGGACAGUGAAAGAACGCGAACUCUGGCAGUGGUACAAGAGAUGAAGAUCAAGAAGAA